rnacentral:rRNA from 1 species
UACGUACGAGGCGAGCGUUAUCCGGAAUUACUGGGCGUAAAGCGUGCGCAGGCGGUGAGCUGUGUCCGAUGUGAAAGCCCCGGGCUUAACCUGGGAAUGGCAUUGGAAACUGGCUCGCUGGAGUGUGGCAGAGGGGGGUGGAAUUCCGCGUGUAGCAGUGAAAUGCGUAGAGAUGCGGAGGAACACCGAUGGCGAAGGCAGCCCCCUGGGCUAACACUGACGCUCAGGCACGAAAGCGUGGGGAGCAAACAGG